rnacentral:lncRNA from 1 species
UAUAAAUACGCCUCGCCCGAGCUGUGCGGUAGGCAUUGAGGCAGCCAGCGCAGGGGCUUCUGCUGAGGGGGCAGGCGGAGCUUGAGGAAACCGCAGAUAAGUUUUUUUCUCUUUGAAAGAUAGAGAUUAAUACAACUACUUAAAAAAUAUAGUCAAUAGGUUACUAAGAUAUUGCUUAGCGUUAAGUUUUUAACGUAAUUUUAAUAGCUUAAGAUUUUAAGAGAAAAUAUGAAGACUUAGAAGAGUAGCAUGAGGAAGGAAAAGAUAAAAGGUUUCUAAAACAUGACGGAGGUUGAGAUGAAGCUUCUUCAUGGAGUAAAAAAUGUAUUUAAAAGAAAAUUGAGAGAAAGGACUACAGAGCCCCGAAUUAAUACCAAUAGAAGGGCAAUGCUUUUAGAUUAAAAUGAAGGUGACUUAAACAGCUUAAAGUUUAGUUUAAAAGUUGUAGGUGAUUAAAAUAAUUUGAAGGCGAUCUUUUAAAAAGAGAUUAAACCGAAGGUGAUUAAAAGACCUUGAAAUCCAUGACGCAGGGAGAAUUGCGUCAUUUAAAGCCUAGUUAACGCAUUUACUAAACGCAGACGAAAAUGGAAAGAUUAAUUGGGAGUGGUAGGAUGAAACAAUUUGGAGAAGAUAGAAGUUUGAAGUGGAAAACUGGAAGACAGAAGUACGGGAAGGCGAAGAAAAGAAUAGAGAAGAUAGGGAAAUUAGAAGAUAAAAACAUACUUUUAGAAGAAAAAAGAUAAAUUUAAACCUGAAAAGUAGGAAGCAGAAGAAAAAAGACAAGCUAGGAAACAAAAAGCUAAGGGCAAAAUGUACAAACUUAGAAGAAAAUUGGAAGAUAGAAACAAGAUAGAAAAUGAAAAUAUUGUCAAGAGUUUCAGAUAGAAAAUGAAAAACAAGCUAAGACAAGUAUUGGAGAAGUAUAGAAGAUAGAAAAAUAUAAAGCCAAAAAUUGGAUAAAAUAGCACUGAAAAAAUGAGGAAAUUAUUGGUAACCAAUUUAUUUUAAAAGCCCAUCAAUUUAAUUUCUGGUGGUGCAGAAGUUAGAAGGUAAAGCUUGAGAAGAUGAGGGUGUUUACGUAGACCAGAACCAAUUUAGAAGAAUACUUGAAGCUAGAAGGGGAAGUUGGUUAAAAAUCACAUCAAAAAGCUACUAAAAGGACUGGUGUAAUUUAAAAAAAACUAAGGCAGAAGGCUUUUGGAAGAGUUAGAAGAAUUUGGAAGGCCUUAAAUAUAGUAGCUUAGUUUGAAAAAUGUGAAGGACUUUCGUAACGGAAGUAAUUCAAGAUCAAGAGUAAUUACCAACUUAAUGUUUUUGCAUUGGACUUUGAGUUAAGAUUAUUUUUUAAAUCCUGAGGACUAGCAUUAAUUGACAGCUGACCCAGGUGCUACACAGAAGUGGAUUCAGUGAAUCUAGGAAGACAGCAGCAGACAGGAUUCCAGGAACCAGUGUUUGAUGAAGCUAGGACUGAGGAGCAAGCGAGCAAGCAGCAGUUCGUGGUGAAGAUAGGAAAAGAGUCCAGGAGCCAGUGCGAUUUGGUGAAGGAAGCUAGGAAGAAGGAAGGAGCGCUAACGAUUUGGUGGUGAAGCUAGGAAAAAGGAUUCCAGGAAGGAGCGAGUGCAAUUUGGUGAUGAAGGUAGCAGGCGGCUUGGCUUGGCAACCACACGGAGGAGGCGAGCAGGCGUUGUGCGUAGAGGAUCCUAGACCAGCAUGCCAGUGUGCCAAGGCCACAGGGAAAGCGAGUGGUUGGUAAAAAUCCGUGAGGUCGGCAAUAUGUUGUUUUUCUGGAACUUACUUAUGGUAACCUUUUAUUUAUUUUCUAAUAUAAUGGGGGAGUUUCGUACUGAGGUGUAAAGGGAUUUAUAUGGGGACGUAGGCCGAUUUCCGGGUGUUGUAGGUUUCUCUUUUUCAGGCUUAUACUCAUGAAUCUUGUCUGAAGCUUUUGAGGGCAGACUGCCAAGUCCUGGAGAAAUAGUAGAUGGCAAGUUUGUGGGUUUUUUUUUUUUACACGAAUUUGAGGAAAACCAAAUGAAUUUGAUAGCCAAAUUGAGACAAUUUCAGCAAAUCUGUAAGCAGUUUGUAUGUUUAGUUGGGGUAAUGAAGUAUUUCAGUUUUGUGAAUAGAUGACCUGUUUUUACUUCCUCACCCUGAAUUCGUUUUGUAAAUGUAGAGUUUGGAUGUGUAACUGAGGCGGGGGGGAGUUUUCAGUAUUUUUUUUUGUGGGGGUGGGGGCAAAAUAUGUUUUCAGUUCUUUUUCCCUUAGGUCUGUCUAGAAUCCUAAAGGCAAAUGACUCAAGGUGUAACAGAAAACAAGAAAAUCCAAUAUCAGGAUAAUCAGACCACCACAGGUUUACAGUUUAUAGAAACUAGAGCAGUUCUCACGUUGAGGUCUGUGGAAGAGAUGUCCAUUGGAGAAAUGGCUGGUAGUUACUCUUUUUUCCCCCCACCCCCUUAAUCAGACUUUAAAAGUGCUUAACCCCUUAAACUUGUUAUUUUUUACUUGAAGCAUUUUGGGAUGGUCUUAACAGGGAAGAGAGAGGGUGGGGGAGAAAAUGUUUUUUUCUAAGAUUUUCCACAGAUGCUAUAGUACUAUUGACAAACUGGGUUAGAGAAGGAGUGUACCGCUGUGCUGUUGGCACGAACACCUUCAGGGACUGGAGCUGCUUUUAUCCUUGGAAGAGUAUUCCCAGUUGAAGCUGAAAAGUACAGCACAGUGCAGCUUUGGUUCAUAUUCAGUCAUCUCAGGAGAACUUCAGAAGAGCUUGAGUAGGCCAAAUGUUGAAGUUAAGUUUUCCAAUAAUGUGACUUCUUAAAAGUUUUAUUAAAGGGGAGGGGCAAAUAUUGGCAAUUAGUUGGCAGUGGCCUGUUACGGUUGGGAUUGGUGGGGUGGGUUUAGGUAAUUGUUUAGUUUAUGAUUGCAGAUAAACUCAUGCCAGAGAACUUAAAGUCUUAGAAUGGAAAAAGUAAAGAAAUAUCAACUUCCAAGUUGGCAAGUAACUCCCAAUGAUUUAGUUUUUUUCCCCCCAGUUUGAAUUGGGAAGCUGGGGGAAGUUAAAUAUGAGCCACUGGGUGUACCAGUGCAUUAAUUUGGGCAAGGAAAGUGUCAUAAUUUGAUACUGUAUCUGUUUUCCUUCAAAGUAUAGAGCUUUUGGGGAAGGAAAGUAUUGAACUGGGGGUUGGUCUGGCCUACUGGGCUGACAUUAACUACAAUUAUGGGAAAUGCAAAAGUUGUUUGGAUAUGGUAGUGUGUGGUUCUCUUUUGGAAUUUUUUUCAGGUGAUUUAAUAAUAAUUUAAAACUACUAUAGAAACUGCAGAGCAAAGGAAGUGGCUUAAUGAUCCUGAAGGGAUUUCUUCUGAUGGUAGCUUUUGUAUUAUCAAGUAAGAUUCUAUUUUCAGUUGUGUGUAAGCAAGUUUUUUUUUAGUGUAGGAGAAAUACUUUUCCAUUGUUUAACUGCAAAACAAGAUGUUAAGAUAACAUCUUCUGAGUCAUAACCAGCCUGGCAGUAUGAUGGCCUAGAUGCAGAGAAAACAGCUCCUUGGUGAAUUGAUAAGUAAAGGCAGAAAAGAUUAUAUGUCAUACCUCCAUUGGGGAAUAAGCAUAACCCUGAGAUUCUUACUACUGAUGAGAACAUUAUCUGCAUAUGCCAAAAAAUUUUAAGCAAAUGAAAGCUACCAAUUUAAAGUUACGGAAUCUACCAUUUUAAAGUUAAUUGCUUGUCAAGCUAUAACCACAAAAAUAAUGAAUUGAUGAGAAAUACAAUGAAGAGGCAAUGUCCAUCUCAAAAUACUGCUUUUACAAAAGCAGAAUAAAAGCGAAAAGAAAUGAAAAUGUUACACUACAUUAAUCCUGGAAUAAAAGAAGCCGAAAUAAAUGAGAGAUGAGUUGGGAUCAAGUGGAUUGAGGAGGCUGUGCUGUGUGCCAAUGUUUCGUUUGCCUCAGACAGGUAUCUCUUCGUUAUCAGAAGAGUUGCUUCAUUUCAUCUGGGAGCAGAAAACAGCAGGCAGCUGUUAACAGAUAAGUUUAACUUGCAUCUGCAGUAUUGCAUGUUAGGGAUAAGUGCUUAUUUUUAAGAGCUGUGGAGUUCUUAAAUAUCAACCAUGGCACUUUCUCCUGACCCCUUCCCUAGGGGAUUUCAGGAUUGAGAAAUUUUUCCAUCGAGCCUUUUUAAAAUUGUAGGACUUGUUCCUGUGGGCUUCAGUGAUGGGAUAGUACACUUCACUCAGAGGCAUUUGCAUCUUUAAAUAAUUUCUUAAAAGCCUCUAAAGUGAUCAGUGCCUUGAUGCCAACUAAGGAAAUUUGUUUAGCAUUGAAUCUCUGAAGGCUCUAUGAAAGGAAUAGCAUGAUGUGCUGUUAGAAUCAGAUGUUACUGCUAAAAUUUACAUGUUGUGAUGUAAAUUGUGUAGAAAACCAUUAAAUCAUUCAAAAUAAUAAACUAUUUUUAUUAGAGAAUGUAUACUUUUAGAAAGCUGUCUCCUUAUUUAAAUAAAAUAGUGUUUGUCUGUAGUUCAGUGUUGGGGCAAUCUUGGGGGGGAUUCUUCUCUAAUCUUUCAGAAACUUUGUCUGCGAACACUCUUUAAUGGACCAGAUCAGGAUUUGAGCGGAAGAACGAAUGUAACUUUAAGGCAGGAAAGACAAAUUUUAUUCUUCAUAAAGUGAUGAGCAUAUAAUAAUUCCAGGCACAUGGCAAUAGAGGCCCUCUAAAUAAGGAAUAAAUAACCUCUUAGACAGGUGGGAGAUUAUGAUCAGAGUAAAAGGUAAUUACACAUUUUAUUUCCAGAAAGUCAGGGGUCUAUAAAUUGACAGUGAUUAGAGUAAUACUUUUUCACAUUUCCAAAGUUUGCAUGUUAACUUUAAAUGCUUACAAUCUUAGAGUGGUAGGCAAUGUUUUACACUAUUGACCUUAUAUAGGGAAGGGAGGGGGUGCCUGUGGGGUUUUAAAGAAUUUUCCUUUGCAGAGGCAUUUCAUCCUUCAUGAAGCCAUUCAGGAUUUUGAAUUGCAUAUGAGUGCUUGGCUCUUCCUUCUGUUCUAGUGAGUGUAUGAGACCUUGCAGUGAGUUUAUCAGCAUACUCAAAAUUUUUUUCCUGGAAUUUGGAGGGAUGGGAGGAGGGGGUGGGGCUUACUUGUUGUAGCUUUUUUUUUUUUUACAGACUUCACAGAGAAUGCAGUUGUCUUGACUUCAGGUCUGUCUGUUCUGUUGGCAAGUAAAUGCAGUACUGUUCUGAUCCCGCUGCUAUUAGAAUGCAUUGUGAAACGACUGGAGUAUGAUUAAAAGUUGUGUUCCCCAAUGCUUGGAGUAGUGAUUGUUGAAGGAAAAA